rnacentral:lncRNA from 1 species
CAACAAUCUUAAACGAUUGUACAUCAAUUACAUUGUUUCACGAAAAAUCUUUUACCGUCUCGUCUUCACUUACAUAUGUUAAAUCUAUGAAGGUUUCUUGCAAGGCUACUUCUUGACCAACUAACUUCCUAAACAUUGUAAGUCUUGAUUCCAUAUCGGAAGUCUUCCAACCAUCCGCUUUUUCAUUAUGGUACCGUCGCCAAUAAUCCGCCAUAGGAGGUAUAGGACAAUUCAUGUUAACUCCCACUCAACAUUAUCGGUAUCCUUUCCUCGUUUUUUUCCUUUAAUCUAAAUGUGCAAUUACAUUUUUUAGAACCCGUCCUCCUCUUUCCCUCUCCUUGGUCAUCCUCACCGGCUUUCUUCUUCCACGAUACUCACCCGCACGCUUACAUGCGAGUACAACAUACGGUCUUCUAAGCCUUUCAAUCCCGGAUUUGAAACGAAAAUGUUAAUCACCAUUCCGUGGCGUCUACCAACUCCUUUAACCCAAUCGAGUAGAGCUUCCCGUGUCUCAAAUAUUUGUUAGGUAGAUAAUUCAUCUCAAUAAUCCUACAUCAAUUCCGAAAAGAUUUGAAAUAUUUAUGAUUUGAAAAUUUUCAGUUUUGAAAGAAUGUUUUUCAUUAUUAUUUCCAAAACUUUGUUUACCAAAAAAUUUCAACCACAUAGUUAGAACGAAGUCGGAAUUAAUUUUUGAAAAAU